rnacentral:rRNA from 1 species
CUAGCCGUAAACGAUGGAUACUAGGUGUGGGGGAAGCAGUUCCUCCGUGCCGGAGUUAACGCGAUAAGUAUCCCGCCUGGGAACUACGGCCGCAAGGCUGAAACUCAAAGGAAUUGACGGGGGCCCGCACAAGCGGUGGAGCACGUGGUUUAAUUCGAUGCAAACCGAAGAACCUUACCUGGGUUUGACAUACAAGUGGUAGAGAAGCGAAAGUGGAUCGACUUUAGUAGCAAUACUAGAGAGCUUGAACAGGUGC